CCAACGAGUUUGACGAGGAGAGUACCUCGAAUUUUCGGACUACAGAGAAGCUUCGUUGGUGAGAGAAGCUGUUUUGAGAAUCGGGAGAACAUGGCCUCUGACUUUUGCGAUCGAUAAUAGAUCGUUACAGGUGCGCCUGUUAUAGCGCCAGGGUAUGAUAGUACCCGUAAGGUGUAAAUCGUGAGGUUUACAUAAAUAAAGGUGGUAACACGGUUUAUAUCGUCCUUUUC
rnacentral:ncRNA from 1 species